rnacentral:rRNA from 1 species
UGCGUCCUACGGGGCGCAGCAGUGGGGAAUAUUGCGCAAUGGGCGAAAGCCUGACGCAGCGACGCCGCGUGAGGGAUGAAGGUCUUCGGAUCGUAAACCUCUGUCAGCAGGGAAGAACGGUCACUGUGCUAAUCGGCAGUGAAUUGACGGUACCUGCAAAGGAAGCACCGGCUAACUCCGUGCCAGCAGCCGCGGUAAUACGGAGGGUGCGAGCGUUAAUCGGAAUUACUGGGCGUAAAGCGCUCGUAGGCGGUACGUCAAGUCAAGGGGGAAAUCCCCGCGCUCAACGGGGGAAAUGCCUUUGA